rnacentral:rRNA from 1 species
CAGUCGCCGCGGGAAUACGUAGGUGGCAAGCGUUGUCCGGAAUUAUUGGGCGUAAAGGGCUCGCAGGCGGUUUCUUAAGUCUGAUGUGAAAGCCCCCGGCUCAACCGGGGAGGGUCAUUGGAAACUGGGAAACUUGAGUGCAGAAGAGGAGAGUGGAAUUCCACGUGUAGCGGUGAAAUGCGUAGAGAUGUGGAGGAACACCAGUGGCGAAAGCGACUCUCUGGUCUGUAACUGACGCUGAGGAGCGAAAGCGUGGGGAGCGAACAGGAUUAGAUACCCGCGUAGUCCCUGUCUCUUAUAC